AGAACAGCACUGGAGUUUCUCUUUCACGUAAAAGAAACUUACAAAGUGGUGUUCCCGAACCAGAUGGAAUCAGCGAUGAACAAAGUUCGGAAAAAUAUUCUUCUGUCAAAUAUUCAAGAAAUAGUGCCUCAAACACAUCUCUUAGAAAAGAUCAUACUGAGUCCUCUUUCAACAGCCGUAAUUCUCGAUCAUCUGUUAAUUCAACUCAUGUUUUAAAACCUACAAUUGGUCAAUCAAGUCCGUGUAUUUUAAGUGAUAAAGAAAAAGAAAUCAAACGUAAAUCAGGAGAUAAUACUCUAGGUAUUUUUUUAAUUAUUACCUCAGAAUUUUCAAACAAUAAGCGUAGCCGUUCUGAUUUAAAUGAAAAGGCAUAAUCUAACUUUUAUGUUUUAAGGAUAGACAUUUUCAAUCCGUUAACGAUUCAGAGAA